rnacentral:rRNA from 1 species
UACGUAGGGGGCAAGCGUUGUCCGGAUUUAUUGGGCGUAAAGAGCGUGUAGGCGGCCACACAGGUCUGCUGUGAAAACUCGAGGCUCAACCUCGAGCUGUCGGUGGAAACCGUGUGGCUAGAGUCCGGAAGAGGAGAGUGGAAUUCCCGGUGUAGCGGUGAAAUGCGCAGAUAUCAGGAGGAACACCGGUGGCGAAGGCGGGUCUCUGGGCCGAUACUGACGCUGAGGAGCGAAAGCGUGGGGAGCAAACAGG